GCCGGAAUAGCUCAGUUGGGAGAGCGUUAGACUGAAGAUCUAAAGGUCCCUGGUUCGAUCCCGGAUUCUGGCU
rnacentral:tRNA from 1 species